UACAGAGGUCCCAAGCGUUGUUCGGAUUCACUGGGCGUAAAGGGUGCGUAGGCGGUCGGGUAAGUCUGAUGUGAAAUCUCACAGCUUAACUGUGAAACUGCAUUGGAUACUAUCCGGCUCGAGGAAUGGAGGGGAGACUGGAAUACUUGGUGUAGCAGUGAAAUGCGUAGAUAUCAAGUGGAACACCAGUGGCGAAGGCGAGUCUCUGGACAUUUCCUGACGCUGAUGCACGAAAGCUAGGGGAGCAAACAGG
rnacentral:rRNA from 1 species